UAAAAGCGUGGGAAUGGAGUUACAGUUUCACCUUGUGGGAGAAAAAAAAAACGAGCAUAAUCUCGCGAUAGACCAAGUCCAACCCCAUUCUUGUCUAUUGUGAGAGUUUUUCUAUUCUCGCGCGAUUUCGCAACUUUCCCACGGCUAUUGUGGCGUCUGCCCUCUGUCCGCCUCUCCUCUCCCUUUUUUUUUUCCUACUCUCGUUUACAUCUGUUCCCGUUCUUCUGUUCGUCCCAGCGGCGGUGGGAAUGGAUUUGAGAUCUCGCGAUUGUUGGGACUUUAGAAGUUCCAGUGGAAAAUGGCGCCCGUUGUGACGGGGAAGUUUGGUGAGCAAGCUCCACCGCAGCGCCUGACGAGAGAGGCCAUGAGAAACUACCUGAAGGAGAGGGGAGACCAGACCUUACUCAUACUACACGCUAAAGUGGCACAGAAGUCUUACGGCAACGAGAAGAGGU